rnacentral:rRNA from 1 species
AGAGUUUGAUCCUGGCUCAGGAUGAACGCUGGCGGCGUGCUUAACACAUGCAAGUCGAACGAAGCACUUUAUUUGAUUUCCUUCGGGAUUGAUUAUUUUGUGACUGAGUGGCGGACGGGUGAGUAACGCGUGGGUAACCUGCCUUGUACAGGGGGAUAACAGUUGGAAACGGCUGCUAAUACCGCAUAAGCGCACAGUAUCGCAUGAUGCAGUGUGAAAAACUCCGGUGGUAUAAGAUGGACCCGCGUUGGAUUAGCUAGUUGGUGAGGUAACGGCCCACCGAGGCAACGAUCCAUAGCCGACCUGAGAGGGUGACCGGCCACAUUGGGACUGAGACACGGCCCAAACUCCUACGGGAGGCAGCAGUGGGGAAUAUUGCACAAUGGGCGAAAGCCUGAUGCAGCGACGCCGCGUGAGCGAAGAAGUAUUUCGGUAUGUAAAGCUCUAUCAGCAGGGAAGAUAAUGACGGUACCUGACUAAGAAGCACCGGCUAAAUACGUGCCAGCAGCCGCGGUAAUACGUAUGGUGCAAGCGUUAUCCGGAUUUACUGGGUGUAAAGGGAGCGCAGGCGGUGCGGCAAGUCUGAUGUGAAAGCCCGGGGCUCAACCCCGGUACUGCAUUGGAAACUGUCGUACUAGAGUGUCGGAGGGGUAAGCGGAAUUCCUAGUGUAGCGGUGAAAUGCGUAGAUAUUAGGAGGAACACCAGUGGCGAAGGCGGCUUACUGGACGAUAACUGACGCUGAGGCUCGAAAGCGUGGGGAGCAAACAGGAUUAGAUACCCUGGUAGUCCACGCCGUAAACG